AUUGAACGCUGGCGGCAGGCCUUACACAUGCAAGUCGGACGAGUGGCGGACGGGUGAGUAAUGCCUGGGAAAGUACCUGAUAAAGGGGGAUAACUAUUCGAAACGGUAGCUAAUACCGCAUACUAUCGGAUCUGCCCAUGUGUGAUUAGCUGGUAGGCGGGGUAAAGGCUCACCUAGGCGACGAUCAGUAGCGGGUCUGAGAGGAUGACCAGCCACACUGGAACUGAGACACGGCCCAGACUCCUACGGGAGGCAGCAGUGGGGAAUAUUGCACAAUGGGCGCAAGCCUGAUGCAGCCAUGCCGCGUGUAUGAAGAAGGCCUUCGGGUUGUAAAGGACUUUUAGCGGGGAGGCGUUACCCGAAGAAGAAGCACCGGCUAACUCCGUGCCAGCAGCCGCGGUAAUAC
rnacentral:rRNA from 1 species